AUCACUUGAUCUGUGUACAUCAUGUCCUGAUAUUUUAUACGUCAGGGGCUCAGAUCAAAUUGAUGUGUUAGUACCCAAAAUUUUAAUGUGUCUUGUUUAAUAAUGUUUGAUGUAUUUGUUCACCAAGAAAUGGAGGCGUCCACCAUUUUGUUAACGACGUGUUUAGUGCACACAGUUUGGUCCCACUGAGGGAGGGCAGCGAACUGCGUUCGAAAUCGAAGUCUGACUUUUGCGCCUACUCAUCUUACAAACCUUCACUUCAACACCACCCAAGGCCGAAAGGAAAAAAAACCUUUUAAUCGAUUCGUCUUAAGGAUCUCCAGGGUUUCAAGUUUCAUAUUGUUAGUACCUAGCUGACACGGCGAACUUGGUAUCGUCUACCAGUAUAUGUCGAAUAAACGAUCGUACAGACAAACAAUCAUAUUUAUUUAUGUAGAUUGCACCAAUGAAAUCAAUAUAAUUUUACAAGUAAAUUGUGCUACAUUAUGAUCAAUUUUCUCAAAAUAUUUGCAACAAUUACAAUACCAUUUAAUUAAACAUGA